UAUAUUCGGUCAAACGUCCUGAG
rnacentral:siRNA from 1 species